rnacentral:sRNA from 1 species
CCCCUUUUCCGCAAGCUUGCUUGCAGGAAGAGGGGCGGCCUUGAGAAACGCAAGAACAUGAGCAGGGAGCCAUUUUCGAAGAAAAUGAGCGGAGUGCGAAUGUUCUUGAGGAUUGCGGGAGUGCGCAGCACGCAGCAAUCCGG